rnacentral:rRNA from 1 species
GACGAACCGUGCGAACGUUAUUCGGAUUCACUGGGCUUAAAGGGCGCGUAGACGGACGACCGCGUCGAUGGCUGAAAGCCCCCGGCUCAACCGGGGAACGGGCCUCGAUACGGGUCGUCUCGAGUGGAGGAGGGGGACCUGGAACUUCCGGUGGAGCGGUGAAAUGCGUUGAGAUCGGGAGGAAUACCAGUGGCGAAGGCGGCUGCCUGGCCUGUUCUUGACGCUGAGGCGCGAAAGCUGGGGGAGCAAACGGG